rnacentral:rRNA from 1 species
UACGGGGGGGGCAAGCGUUGUUCGGAAUUACUGGGCGUAAAGGGUUUGUAGGUGGCCCGCUAAGUCACACGUGAAAUCCCUCAGCUUAACUGGGGAACUGCGUGUGAGACUGGCAGGCUCGAGGGCAGGAGAGGAACGCGGAAUUCCAGGUGUAGCGGUGAAAUGCGUAGAUAUCUGGAGGAACACCGGUGGCGAAGGCGGCGUUCUGGACAGUUCCUGACACUGAGGCACGAAGGCUAGGGGAGCAAACGGG